rnacentral:rRNA from 1 species
GACGAACGCUGGCGGCGUGCUUAACACAUGCAAGUCGAACGGAAAGGCCCUGCUUUUGUGGGGUGCUCGAGUGGCGAACGGGUGAGUAACACGUGAGUAACCUGUCCUUGACUUUGGGAUAACUUCAGGAAACUGGGGCUAAUACCGGAUAGGAGAUCCUGCUGCAUGGUGGGGGUUGGAAAGUUUCGGCGGUUGGGGAUGGACUCGCGGCUUAUGAGCUUGUUGGUGGGGUAGUGGCAUACCAAGGGUUUGACGGGUAGCCGGCCUGAGAGGGGGACCGGGCACCAUACGACUGCGAGACGGACCAGACGGCUACGGGACGCAGCAGUGGGGAAUAUUGCACAAUGAGGCGGAGUCUGAUGUGGCGACGCCGCGUGCGUGAAGACGGCUUUCGGGUUGUAAACCGCUUUCUCCGGUGACGAAGCGUGAGUGACGGUAAUGGGUAAAGAAGCCCCGGCUAACUACGUG